rnacentral:rRNA from 1 species
UACGUAGGGGGCUAGCGUUGUCCGGAUUUAUUGGGCGUAAAGAGCGUGUAGGCGGCCAAGUAGGUCCGGUGUGAAAACUCGAGGCUUAACCUCGAGAUGUCAUCGGAAACCAUUUGGCUAGAGUCCGGAAGAGGAAAGUGGAAUUCCUGGUGUAGCGGUGAAAUGCGCAGAUAUCGUAAGGAAGACCAGUGGCGAAGGCGGGUCUCUGGACAGUUCCUGACGCUGAGGCACGAAGGCCAGGGGAGCAAACGGG